GCCUACGGGGGGCAGCAGUGAGGAAUAUUGGUCAAUGGUCGGGAGACUGAACCAGCCAAGCCGCGUGAGGGAUGAAGGUACAGAGUAUCGUAAACCUCUUUUGUCAGGGAACAAAGGCGGGGACGUGUCCCCGGAUGAGUGUACCUGAAGAAAAAGCAUCGGCUAACUCCGUGCCAGCAGCCGCGGUAAUACGGAGGAUGCGAGCGUUAUCCGGAUUUAUUGGGUUUAAAGGGAGCGUAGGUGGAUUGUUAAGUCAGUUGU
rnacentral:rRNA from 1 species